rnacentral:rRNA from 1 species
ACGCUCGACACCUACGGGGGCAGCAGUGGGGAAUAUUGCACAAUGGGGGAAACCCUGAUGCAGCAACGCCGCGUGAAGGAAGACGGUUUUCGGAUUGUAAACUUCUGUUCUUAGUGAAGAUAGUGACGGUAGCUAAGGAGCAAGCCACGGCUAACUACGUGCCAGCAGCCGCGGUAAUCUGAGGCGGCGUGGACGAAGGC